rnacentral:rRNA from 1 species
GACGAACGCUGGCGGCGUGCUUAACACAUGCAAGUCGAGCGGAAAGGCCCCUUCGGGGGUACUCGAGCGGCGAACGGUGAGUAACACGUGAGCAACCUGCCCUUCACUCUGGGAUAAGCCCGGGAAACUGGGUCUAAUACCGGAUACGACUUCGAUCGGCAUCGAUUGAGGUGGAAAGAUUUAUCGUGAAGGAUGGGCUCGCGGCCUAUCAGCUUGUUGGUGGGGUAAUGGCCCACCAAGGCUUCUACGGGUAGCCGGCCUGAGAGGGCGACCGGCCACACUGGGACUGAGACACGGCCCAGACUCCUACGGGAGGCAGCAGUGGGGAAUAUUGCGCAAUGGGCGUAAAGCCUGACGCAGCGACGCCGCGUGAGGGAUGACGG